rnacentral:rRNA from 1 species
GACGAACGCUGGCGGCGUGCCUAAUACAUGCAAGUAGAACGCACAGUUUAUACCGUAGCUUGCUACACCAUAGACUGUGAGUUGCGAACGGGUGAGUAACGCGUAGGUAACCUGCCUGGUAGCGGGGGAUAACUAUUGGAAACGAUAGCUAAUACCGCAUAAUAUUAAUUAUUGCAUGAUAAUUAAUUGAAAGGUGCAAUUGCACCACUACCAGAUGGACCUGCGUUGUAUUAGCUAGUAGGUGAGGUAACGGCUCACCUAGGCGACGAUACAUAGCCGACCUGAGAGGGUGAUCGGCCACACUGGGACUGAGACACGGCCCAGACUCCUACGGGAGGCAGCAGUAGGGAAUCUUCGGCAACGGACGAAGGUCUGACCGAGCAACGCCGCGUGAGUGAAGAAGGUUUUCGGAUCGUAAAGCUCUGUUGUAAGAGAAGAACGGGUGUGAGAGUGGAAAGUUCACACUGUGACGGUAUCUUACCAGAAAGGGACGGCUAACUACGUG